UGCUGAAAAAUUAAGCACAGGCUUACUGGUCAGGAGAACUCCUUCCUUCAAAGUCAAACCAGAGAAAGCAUCCACAGACACUCACAGAGAGCUGCAGAGAGAUACCCAAGGGUUUAUAACAAUGUAAACCUCCAACUCUACCUAUUAUCCAACAGAUGCUGGAUCCAAGUGUGAAGACCAUAUCAUGAAGAAAAAGAGCUCAUUGAGUCACUCAACCUCAAUUCAAUUGGAUCCAGAGCUCAACAGGAAGAAAGAGAAGCCAGAGAAAGAAAAGAAUGUCUUUAAAAAGUUUUUUACAUCGAAGUAAGAGCAGAAAAAUAGAAGAGAGCUCUUCAGUAUUCUGGAUUAGGCAUUCUUUUUCUUUUCACAACACCCUUUUGCCUUGAAGUCAGAGAUGACUAUGAGUAAGAUAAAUAUCUAUUGGGAGAAGAUAGCGGUCAGGUAUUCAGAUCAGAAACAAUGCUCAGAAGAAAACAGUCAAAAUAUGAAGAAAGGGAACUUGGGUGAUCCAUGCAUCUGAUUCUGCCAGGCCCAUAGACAACUUUUCUCUAAACUGUAUGUAUUUGGUUUGAGAAAGUAAUAUGAGAUCUAUACCUUGUCUCCAGUGAUGGUCAGUGAUGCCAGAUUAGAUUUUGUGAUGAUGAUAAAUGUCUGUAAGGGACCAGCAUGGGAUAUGGCCAAAUUCAUAUCUCUUCACUAUAGAAGCAGCAAUUUGAUCUCCAGUCUUCAUAGAUGACAACCUGCAGUGCUUACUACACUAUUUCCCUGAAAGUAUUUGUCUUGUCUUACCAUUAAGUUCUGAUGUUGUAAAGCAGGUUGUAGCUUGUAAAGUAAACAGUUGUGUCUUAGUAUGCUAGCUCAAAUACAUAAGCUUUGUCUUCAGUGUGAGACCCUGCAAAAUCAGAAGAUAGGCAGAUACAAUUCUAGCUGUCCAUACCGGGAACAGGCGAAAUGAAAAGGAAAAAGGGAAGAUUCUUUCCUAACAGAAGUGAACUUCCAAGUGUUGUCGAUUCUUACAGAGAUUUCCAUCAGCCUGCCAAAUAUAAGCACCUCAAAUGCCAUAGGAGUUAAUAAUUAUGGUAUAAACAGGUUUUUUUCUGUAUUUUCAUGAUCCUUGGUUUCUGAUAUAAAUAAUUUUUCAACAAUAAAAAUGAGGUGUCAGACUGAUUUGAAACAUAGGAGGUAACUUUUAAACUAAAAUGGAAGGCAUCAGUGAAAGUGGUGCAUGCUUGCAGGAAGGGAUGCCUGCAAAACUUAUCGGGUAAAGUUAAAACUUCUCAAUGAGGGUCUCUGAUGCUGUUUCAGAGGAGAUGCAUUCACCCAUUUGUAUUGGGCAAACAGGCCAUAAGCAGGGGAAGAUAUAUAUGUUAGUAUUUCAUAUCAUCAUAUGGUACUUACCACUGUGGGAUGAAAGCCCUUAAAAGGGAAAGUAUGGUAAGGAAAAUGCAAAUGUCACUUUGAGCUAAAUACAGCACUGUUGCAUCUCUAACAAGAAUGUUAAUACUUCUAAGUUAUAAGCACUUGUGCUAUGUGCUUUGGUGAUAAAACCUGUGGAAGUGCUCUCUCAUCCUCAUUGUUAAUAACUUUAAAAUGUUUUCUAAUUAAAAAUCUCAGAGGUUUUUUAAGUCAAUUCACUUUAAACUUCUUGUUAAUCCUUUAAUAUAAAGUUUAAUGCAAAAUGAGUGCCACAGUUAUAUUUAAAUAAAAUCAACCAGUUGU